UACGAAGGGGGCUAGCGUUGUUCGGAAUCACUGGGCGUAAAGGGCGCGUAGGCGGCCGAUCAAGUCGGGGGUGAAAGCCUGUGGCUCAACCACAGAAUUGCCUUCGAUACUGUUUGGCUUGAGACCGGAAGAGGUUAGUGGAACUGCGAGUGUAGAGGUGAAAUUCGUAGAUAUUGGGAAGAACACCGGUGGCGAAGGCGACCAUCUGGACGACAACUGACGCUGAGGCGCGAAAGCGUGGGGAGCAAACAGG
rnacentral:rRNA from 1 species